rnacentral:rRNA from 1 species
UGGGGAAUAUUGGACAAUGGGCGAAAGCCUGAUCCAGCCAUGCCGCGUGUGUGAAGAAGGUCUUCGGAUUGUAAAGCACUUUAAGUUGGGAGGAAGGGCUAUUACCUAAUACGUGAUGGUUUUGACGUUACCGACAGAAUAAGCACCGGCUAACUCUGUGCCAGCAGCCGCGGUAAUACAGAGGGUGCAAGCGUUAAUCGGAAUUACUGGGCGUAAAGCGCGCGUAGGUGGUUCGUUAAGUUGGAUGUGAAAGCCCCGGGCUUAACUUGGGAACUGCAUUCAAAACUGGCGAGCUAGAGUAUGGUAGAGGGUGGUGGAAUUUCCUGUGUAGCGGUGAAAUGCGUAGAUAUAGGAAGGAGCACCAGUGGCGAAGGCGACGACCUGGACUGAUACUGACACUGAGGUGCGAAAGCGUGGGGAGCAAACAGG